AACCCACCAAGCUGGAGGACUCUGUGCGCCACCUCCCAUCCGCAUUGCCCCACAAGCCUUCUCAGGACCCUGGCAACAGACAGCUGCUUCUCCCUUUCCCACCCUUCCCCUCCCAACCCAAAGUUAGAGGAAAACAAAGUAACUAGGAGGGCAGCCCGACUCCUGAGUGCCUCCUGGCGGCCACACUGCGGACAUGACUGGUGGGCCUUGAAAUCUGCCGUUAAUUCAGCUCCCUGCCCAUAUUUCUCCUAGGCCUGGAGCCUCUAGGGUGGGGCUCACUUUCCUGUAUGCUUCUCUUAAGUUGUAACCACUGACACUGCAUCUGCUGAUCCAACCUAAUCAGUGCAACCAGUACCAGCUUGGCAUGCUUCACUUUGGACUGCAUCCAGAGACGUCAGGCGUGGAAUGUCAACUCUUCAGCUUCAUUGCUCUGGACCUUGCCCUCAAUGCGGAUCAGCAAUGGUGCAGAAUAUUCCGCUCUCCGAAGGGAGGUUGGACAACAUACUCAACCUACUACUGGAGGAAGAUGGGUCCUGAAUUUAGUGCAGCCUGGAGUGUUCGUAGCCAUGACCACAGAAUGCGAGCUCAGACCUACAGGGAUGCAGAGGUCACACAGGCUCCUGUGCUGAUCAUGGGCCCCAGAUUAGACCAGUGGGGUUUACAGUUGACAAUAUUUAUACACUUUCCCCAUAUUUGGGAGCUACUCUCUUCCCUGACUCAGCUUUCCAGUCCUUUUUCCAACUAUGAUGCCAUCUCCCCAGACAAUGACCUGGGUCCUCCUGCAUACUAGAUGUCAGGUUCAGGCAAAAACUAGUAAAGUCAUAGGCCCCUUGGAAUAUUCCUAAAAUAGACCUACUAGCUUUUUCCAAAACAGAGACCCCAAAUGUUCAUCUGCAAUAUUUAUGCCUCUAGGAUCAUGAUUAGUCAACAAUUUGUUCUGCAUUAUAUCUUAACUCUUUUCAGCCACCAGGUUCCAGAUGCUACCAUGAUUUCAGCCUGACUUCCUUGGGCAGACGAUGCCACCAAUAUGUCCCGGAACCUUACCUCCCCAGACCCCUGUCCCCACUAGGGAAACAGAGACAGGCCGGGAGUAUGGAUCCACCUACCAACACCCAUGUUCAGUGGGGAAGCAAUUACAGAAACCAGACCUUCCACCUUCUGCACCCCAUAAUGAUUCUGGAUCCAUACUCCCAGAGGGAUAAAGAAUAGGGAAACUCAAGGGAGGGGAUUGGAUAGAGAGUUCUGGGGGUGGGAAUUGUGUGAAAUUGUACCCCUCUUAUCUUAUAGUCUUGUCAAUAUUUCCAUUUUAUAAAUAAGAAUUAA